GCCAGCAUGGCCUAGUGGUUUGAGCAUUGGACCAUAACUCUAGAGACCAGGGUUCAAUUCUCCAUCUAGGCA